rnacentral:lncRNA from 10 species
GGGGCACAAGGCUCAUUGAAUACAGUGAACACAUCCUAGGGGAGGUAAAUGGAGAAAGACGCAGCUGCAGACACAAGCACAAGACACACACAAAGAAGUCAUAGGGAAGAGCAUGGAAUACACCAACUAGGAACCAGGCACUGUCCAAGCUCUGGAAAAGGCUCUCAAAAAAGGAGCUGACGUCUCUGCAUUCUGGAGGAGCCAGGCCUGUGGCAAACCGUCAACUAAUAAACAGCUGACAUGGAACUUAGCAUCCCCUUACUCCCACUCCAGGAACUGAGGAGAGAGCCCCUGGCUCUCUGCUCCCUGCCCUGCUCCUGUCUCUCAUCAUGCAGUCAAGGUUGUGAGCGUUCUGUUCCUCUCCAUCACCAGGAGCUGCAGGCCCUACUGCAAUGCCGGGCUCUGCCUGAGGAUGCUCCCUGCACACUCCACUCAGCCUCUCCGGGUGGGUUCGGGAACUGAUUGAGAGCCUGCCUGGGCAACAAAGCUGGUGAUGGGAGGCACUGCAGAAGUCAGAGGGUAAUCUCCCCAGCUUCUUAGCCUCCAGAGAAGACAACACCAAAGCCAGUUCUGCGCUUGCCCUUGAGGUCUCCAGGGACUGUGCCCCAGUGUCCAGUGGUGACAGCUCAUCACAUAUAGCAUGCACGUCCUACACUUGCCAGCACUUCCUGGAAUAACUUCAAGAAGAAACCUUUGGAAUCAGAGGAAACCCUUGGAGUCAAAGGAAAACCUUGGAAUCGAACUUGUUGCAGGAACACAGAUGACGGAGGAGGGAACACCCAGAAGAGAGUGAGAGUGUCAGAGGUUGGGGACCCGGCGCACACAGUCCUCGCAUAUGAAACAGCAUCUGGUAUAUGAGAAACAGCUCAGGGCUUCUCCGCAGCCAGGGCUGUGUGGCUGAGAAGUAGGCAAGGGGCAUGUCACAAAGAGGCUGGUGUGCACACUGCCAUUUCACCCAUGUGUAUUACGAAAGCAUCCAUCCAAAGAUGUGUGCAAGGAGGCACAUAGCAGCUUUGUUACUCACUAUUGCCAGCUGGAAAGCAUCCAGGCAUCCAUCAACAGCGCAGCACUACCUCUGUAUGCUGGAACACUCCUCAGCAAUUAAAAGGAGCCAACUGCAGAUGCAUGUAAUCGGCCACACAGAUGAAUCAAUAAACCGGAAGCGUGUAUACUCUACGAUUCCGUUUAUACGAAUUUCCAGAAAAGGCAAAGCUAAGCUAUGUUGACAAAAUGCUGCCAGUGUUAUCUUUGGGGAGUUGAAGGUGGGGAUUGGCUGGGAAGGGGCAGAAGGGAACUUUCUAGGGCAAUGGUGAUGCCCUAUAUCUCUAUAGAAUUUGGAUUAUGGAAGCGGAUGCAUUUGCCUAAAUACAUCAGAUUGUUCUGUUAAUAUAUGUUCAUGUCUUUGAAUGAAAAUCUGACCCCUUCCCCCCAAAAAACAACUGCUAACAAAUACUGAAAUCUAGUCAAUAACAUUCAUGCUAAAGUGUUAGGGUGGCAUGUACUGAUGUCUGAAACUUCCAUGCAAUGCAUUAAAAAAAUGAGAUGGACAUGGUGAUAGGGCAGAGAGAUGGAGACAUGUGGUAGAGCAAAGAUAGUAAAAGGUUAAUCAUGGGAUCCAGUUGUCAGGAGGAUGUCCACCUACACUGUGAACACAAUUCUUCACUGUACAAUUAUGUCAGCUUUUCUGCAUGUUGUAAAGUGUUUAUAAUAAAAUGUUAACAGAAUAAAGGAACUAAGGUGCCAUGCCAACAUCAAGACUGACACACAUUGCAGCAGAGGUAUGGGGGCUCCUAAGGGUGGGUGACACCAUCACACUGAUGUUGAGAAGGGCUAGGGAGGAACCAGGUUGGUGUCAUGCAAAAUGGUUGUGAACACAACAGUUAGCAAGCUGUCUUGUGCUUCACUGAGGAGGAGCAUCAGUGAGAUAGGUGUGGCAUCUGGAGACUCCCAAAAUGCAGGGGUGCCAGGACCCAGGGGCAAGAAGUCAGGGUGACACCUGGUUCCUGGCUUGAGUUGCUCGUGGAUGUGGCCUAGAUCCUGAGCUUUAGAAGAGACAGCUCUGGGCAUCUACAGGACAGGGUGGCCUGCCCCUGGGCCUUCAGCCUCUGUUAGUGACUGUCCACUGGAAGCACUUAAAUACUCCGAACUUCAGAACUUAAAUACCCAACACUCAGAGCCAAGCAUGUGUCUUUUCCCUGACAGUCCCAGGAACGGCCUGGUGAGAAGGAGGUGGGGAGAGGGAGAACUGGUUGCCUGCCUGUUGUACUGAGCUUGCCUUGCCCAGAGCUCCUCUGCAAUGCCCUUGCCCUCCCACCAGCAGCACCCACUUUUCCUACACAUCAGCUUCAACUGAGGACGCUUGCAAGUCUUAUGUCCACCCUCUGUGCUCUUCUUUCCUGUGGGUGGGGAUUCCCUGAGGAUGGGAUGCUGCUCAUCCUCAGUUGGGCCUGCAUUACUUCAGGGGAGUCAGGCAGGCCACCAGCCAUGGCUCAUUCCAAUGGGAGAACCUGGCCACCUACCCAAAGGUGCACACACUAGCAGGCGGGCAGGCUGGAAUCCAAGGCCAGUGUAGGUGGACUCUAGAACUUGGACUUUUUCUGCUACUUCCAUGUGAUGGCAAGCAGUGGGAGGAAGAGGAAAUAUACAGCAAUUUAUUAUUUGCAAAUGAGAACUUCCCCAGGAUACUGAAGCC